CCAUAACAAGUUCACAAAUUAACUAACAACAAUUAUUCAAUAAUUGUUAUAAAAAAAUACCUAGAAGAUAGAAGCCCUAGAACAGAGCAGAGCAUAUCUUGAGCAAGAGGGGGACAAGGGCACGACCGAAGGGAUGACAGGUGGAACAGAGAUAGCCCCGGCGACGAUGGAACCGAGCUGCGCGACGGUGCUAAGCUGAAACAGUAGCUGCACGAUGGUGGAACAAAGCUGCACGAUAACGACGGUGGCUUCAAAGCUCCUUUCGGCGACGGCGGCGGGAGAUGGACGGAGGUGAGGGAGUGAGAUCGAUGACGGAGAGAGGAAGGAGGAGCUCGAAGGCGAUGGGAGGGAUGGGUUCGCGUUUAGCCGUUGUGUGGAGCUAAGGUUACUGGGUUGGGUAAUUGGCUAGGGCAUCCCAGCAAAACGAUGGCGUCUUGCGUGCGACGCAGAGACAGAUGAGAGAGAUCGAGGAGCAGAGAGAGACAGAGAGAGAGGAUAGGAAGAGGAGAGAAGAAGA